rnacentral:rRNA from 1 species
AGGAUGAACGCUGGCGGCGUGCCUAAUACAUGCAAGUCGAACGGUAACAGGCUUUCACUAUUUGCUUCUCUCUCAUCUGUAAAAUGAUGAGGUACAGAGGAGGAAGUGGUGAAAGUGCUGACGAGUGGCGGACGGCUGAGUAACGCGUGGGAACGUGCCCCAAAGUGAGGGAUAAGCUCUGGAAACAGAGUCUAAUACCGCAUAUGGUCUUCGGAUUAAAGUAUUUAUACGCUUUGGGAGCGGCCCGCGUUUGAUUAGAUAGUUGGUGAGGUAAAGCUCACCAAGUCUACGAUCAAUAGCUGUCUGAGAGGAUGAUCAGCCAGACUGGAAACUGAGAC